UACGUAGGUGGCAAGCGUUAUCCGGAAUUAUUGGGCGUAAAGAGCGCGCAGGUGGUUGAUUAAGUCUGAUGUGAAAGCCCACGGCCUAACCGUGGAUGGUCAUUGGAAACUGGUCGACUUGAGUGCAGAAGAGGGAAGUGGAAUUCCAUGUGUAGCGGUGAAAUGCGUAGAGAUAUGGAGGAACACCAGUGGCGAAGGCGGCUUCCUGGUCUGUAACUGACACUGAGGCGCGAAAGCGUGGGGAGCAAACAGGAUUAGA
rnacentral:rRNA from 1 species